rnacentral:rRNA from 1 species
CACGCCCUAAACGAUGUCAACUGGUUGUUGGGGAUUUAUUUCUUCAGUAACGAAGCUAACGCGUGAAGUUGACCGCCUGGGGAGUACGGCCGCAAGGUUAAAACUCAAAGGAAUUGACGGGGACCCGCACAAGCGGUGGAUGAUGUGGUUUAAUUCGAUGCAACGCGAAAAACCUUACCCACCUUUGACAUGUACGGAAUCCUGCAGAGAUGCGGGAGUGCUCGCAAGAGAGCCGUAACACAGGUGC